UACGUAGGGGGCAAGCGUUGUCCGGAUUUAUUGGGCGUAAAGAGCGUGUAGGCGGCCAGGUAGGUCCGUUGUGAAAACUAGAGGCUUAACCUCUAGACGUCGAUGGAAACCAUCUGGCUAGAGUCCGGAAGAGGAGAGUGGAAUUCCUGGUGUAGCGGUGAAAUGCGCAGAUAUCAGGAGGAACACCGGUGGCGAAGGCGGGUCUCUGGGCAAUAACUGACGCUGAGGAGCGAAAGCGUGGGGAGCGAACAGG
rnacentral:rRNA from 1 species